rnacentral:rRNA from 1 species
UACGAAGGGGGCUAGCGUUGCUCGGAAUCACUGGGCGUAAAGCGCACGUAGGCGGAUUGUUAAGUCAGGGGUGAAAUCCUGGAGCUCAACUCCAGAACUGCCUUUGAUACUGGCGUUCUUGAGUCCGGGAGAGGUGAGUGGAACUGCGAGUGUAGAGGUGAAAUUCGUAGAUAUUCGCAAGAACACCAGUGGCGAAGGCGGCUCACUGGCCCGGUACUGACGCUGAGGUGCGAAAGCGUGGGGAGCAAACAGG